UUAAGCUAAUAAGAGCGCAGGGUGGAUGCCUUGGCACUAAGAGCCGAUGAAAGACGUGAUAAGCUGCGAAAAGCUUCGGGGAGGAGCAAAUAUCCAUUGAUCCGGAGAUAUCUGAAUGGGGAAACCCGGCUGAGAAGACCUCAGUCAUCCAUACGCCAAUACAUAACGUAUGGAAGGGAACCCGCUGAACUGAAACAUCUAAGUAGGCGGAGGAAGAGAAAGAAACAUCGAUUCCCAAAGUAGCGGCGAGCGAAAUGGGAAGAGCCCAAACCAGAGUGCGUGCACUCUGGGGUUACGGACUGCAUAAGUGAGCUGAUUCGUUAAUGGAACGGUCCUGGAAAGACCGGCCAGAGAGAGUGAAAGCCUCGUACAUGAAAACGAUAAGCAGCGGCAGGAUCCAGAGUACCGCGAGACACGUGGAACCUUGCGGGAAUUCGGGGGGACCACCCCCCAAGGCUAAAUACUCCUUAGUGACCGAUAGCGCAUAGUACUGUGAAGGAAAGGUGAAAAGGACCCCGGGAGGGGAGUGAAAGAGAACCUGAAACCCUGUGUCUACAAGCUGUGGAAGUACUUUAUAUGUGCGACCGCGUACUUUUUGUAGAACGGUCCGGCGAGUUACGCUUACUGGCAAGGUUAAGCACUUCAGGUGUGGAGCCGUAGGGAAACCAAGUCUUAAGAGGGCCAGAGUCAGUAGGAGUAGACCCGAAACCGGGUGAUCUAUCCAUGUCCAGGUUGAAGCUGCCGUAAGAGGUAGUGGAGGACCGAACCCACAUCCGUUGAAAAGGGUGGGGAUGAGGUGUGGAUAGGGGAGAAAUUCCAAUCGAACCCGGAGAUAGCUGGUUCUCCUCGAAAUAGCUUUAGGGCUAGCCUCGUAUUAGUUUAGCGGAGGUAGAGCACUGAAUUUCCUAGGGGGCGUCAAAGUCUACCGAAGAAUAUCAAACUCCGAAUGCCGCAUAAAUGAUGUACGGGAGUCAGACUGCACGAGAUAAGUUGGGUAGUCAAAAGGGAAAGAGCCCAGACCUACAGCUAAGGUCCCAAAGUGUGUGUUAAGUGGAAAAGGAUGUGGGAUUUCGAAGACAACUAGGAUGUUGGCUCAGAAGCAGCCACACAUUCAAAGAGUGCGUAAUAGCUCACUAGUCGAGAGGUCCUGCGCCGAAAAUGUCCGGGGCUAAAACACAACACCGAAGCUUAGGAAUGUAGAAAUACAUUGGUAGAGGAGCAUUCUUAAAGGAAUGAAGCAGUACCGAUAAGGAGCUGUGGACUUUUAAGAAGAGAGAAUGCCGGAAUGAGUAGCGAGAUGGAGGUGGGAAUCCUCCAGGCCGAAUAUCCAAGGUUUCCAGAGUAAAGCUGAUCUGCUCUGGGUAAGUCGGGGCCUAAGGUAAGGCUGAGAAGCGUAGCCGAUGGACAACAGGUUGAGAUUCCUGUACCGCGUAUCAUCAGAACUGUGGGGACACAGAAGGACAGCACAACCCGGGAAUGGAAAGACCGGGGCAAGCAGGGUAGGAGUUAAGCUGGCAAAUCCGCUUAACAAUCCGAAGCUGUGAUGCGGAGCGAAUUUAAGUAGCGAAGUGUGCGAUUCCGGCUGUCAAGAAAAGCCGCUAUUGUGUGAUACGUGCCCGUACCGUAAACCGACACAGGUAGAUGAGGAGAGAAUCCUAAGGCCGGCGGGAGAAGCAUUGUUAAGGAACUCGGCAAAAUGACCCUGUAACUUCGGGAGAAAGGGUGCCUGGGAAACCAGGCCGCAGAGAAUAGGCUCAAGCAACUGUUUAGCAAAAACACAGGUCUAUGCAAAACCGUAAGGUGAGGUAUAUGGGCUGACGCCUGCCCGGUGCUGGAAGGUUAAGAGGAGGGGUUAGCGCAAGCGAAGCUCUGAAUUGAAGCCCCAGUAAACGGCGGCCGUAACUAUAACGGUCCUAAGGUAGCGAAAUUCCUUGUCGGGUAAGUUCCG
rnacentral:rRNA from 1 species